UCUUUGAGUCGGUGUACAGGUGGUGCAUGGCUGUCGUCAGCUCGUGUCGUGAGAUGUUGGGUUAAGUCCCGCAACGAGCGCAACCCUUGUCCUGUGUUGCCAGCGGGGCCCUUCGGGGCUGCCGGGGACUCACGGGAGACUGCCGGGGUCAACUCGGAGGAAGGUGGGGACGACGUCAAGUCAUCAUGCCCCUUAUGUCUUGGGCUGCACACGUGCUACAAUGGCCGGUACAAUGAGCUGCGAUACCGUGAGGUGGAGCGAAUCUCAAAAAGCCGGUCUCAGUUCGGAUUGGGGUCUGCAACUCGACCCCAUGAAGUCGGAGUCGCUAGUAAUCGCAGAUCAGCAUUGCUGCGGUGAAUACGUUCCCGGGCCUUGUACACACCG
rnacentral:rRNA from 1 species